GACGAACGCUGGCGGCGUGCUUAACACAUGCAAGUCGAACGGAAAGGCCCUGCUUUUGUGGGGUGCUCGAGUGGCGAACGGGUGAGUAACACGUGAGUAACCUGCCCUUGACUUUGGGAUAACUUCAGGAAACUGGGGCUAAUACCGGAUAGGAGCUCCUGCUGCAUGGUGGGGGUUGGAAAGUUUCGGCGGUUGGGGAUGGACUCGCGGCUUAUCAGCUUGUUGGUGGGGUAGUGGCUUACCAAGGCUUUGACGGGUAGCCGGCCUGAGAGGGUGACCGGCGACAUGGGGACUGAGAGACGGCGCAGUCUCCUACGGGAGGCAGCAGUGGGGAAUAUUGCACAAUGGGCGGAAGCCUGAUGCAGCAACGCCGCGUGUGGGAUGACGGCCUUCGGGUGGUGAACCGCUUUCGCCUGUGACGAAGCGUGAGUGACGGUAAUGGGUAAAGAAGCACCGGCUAACUACGUG
rnacentral:rRNA from 1 species